rnacentral:rRNA from 1 species
AGCGAACGCUGGCGGCAGGCCUAAUACAUGCAAGUCGAACGGUCUCUUCGGAGGCAGUGGCGGACGGGUGAGUAACGCGUGGGAAUAUGCCCUUUGGUACGGAACAACUGAGGGAAACUUCAGCUAAUACCGUAUGUGCCCUUCGGGGGAAAGAUUUAUCGCCAUUGGAGUAGCCCGCGUUGGAUUAGGUAGUUGGUGGGGUAAAGGCCUACCAAGCCCACGAUCCAUAGCUGGUCUGAGAGGAUGAUCAGCCACACUGGGACUGAGACACGGCCCAGACUCCUACGGGAGGCAGCAGUAGGGAAUCUUGCGCAAUGGGCGAAAGCCUGACGCAGCCAUGCCGCGUGAAUGAUGAAGGUCUUAGGAUUGUAAAAUUCUUUCACCGGGGAAGAUAAUGACGGUACCCGGAGAAGAAGCCCCGGCUAACUUCGUGCCAGCAGCCGCGGUAAU